rnacentral:lncRNA from 1 species
GAUCUUUUUCAGGAGAUCUGUCCUUGGUGAGGCUUUCCCCUGCAAACCUGGAAUCUUCUGAUACGGAGACCAGGGAAAAACAAACUCUGCUCGUCUCAGUUGUUUGCUAGAAUUUGGUCCCGCCAAGGAUGGCCAUAUAUUGUGUGAUGGACUCCACUGUACAUGGAGAGCAUGUAUGGGAGCACAUCCAGCAUCAUGGGAGCAGAUACAUGGCCGCAACUCUUCAAAGAUUCCACACUUGAUCACUUUGAAGAAGUGGCUGAGUAUAUUCCUCUGCAGAAUAGAACAGCAGCUUUUUAUUUUUACAAGUGAAAUGUGACACAUUUUGGGCCAGAUUUUCUACAUGCAUAAAAUACACCAUGAGUUCUGCUG